AAACCAACAGGGAUUGCCUUAGUAACGGCGAGUGAAGCGGCAAAAGCUCAAAUUUGAAAUCGGCCUCCAGGUCGAGUUGUAAUUUGUAGAUUGUAUCUUGAGAGCGGAUUAAAGUCUGUUGGAACACAGCGCCUUAGAGGGUGACAGCCCCGUAAAAUCUAUUUUCAUUGUAAGAUACUUUCGAAGAGUCGAGUUGUUUGGGAAUGCAGCUCUAAGUGGGAGGUAAAUUCCUUCUAAAGCUAAAUAUUGACGAGAGACCGAUAGCGAACAAGUACUGUGAAGGAAAGAUGAAAAGCACUUUGAAAAGAGAGUGAAAAAGUACGUGAAAUUGUUAAAAGGGAAGGGUAUUGAAUCAGACUUGGUGCUGUUGUUCAACUAUGUUUUGGCAUGGUGUACUCAGCAGUACUAGGCCAAGGUGGGGUGUUUGGGAGUGAAAAAGAAGUAGGAACGUAGCUCUUCGGAGUGUUAUAGGCUACUUUCAUAGCUCCUCAGGCGCCUCAGGACUGCGCUUCGGCAAGGACCUUGGCAUAAUGAUUCUAUACCGCCCG
rnacentral:rRNA from 1 species